rnacentral:rRNA from 1 species
AGAUUGAACGCUGGCGGCAUGCUUUACACAUGCAAGUCGAACGGGCUGUUGGGGCAACCUGGCAGUCAGUGGCGGACGGGUGAGUAAUGCAUCGGAACGUGUCCCGUAGUGGGGGAUAACCCGGCGAAAGCCGGACUAAUACCGCAUAUGCUCUACGGAGGAAAGCGGGGGACCUGAAAGGGCCUCGCGCUAUGGGAGCGGCCGAUGUCCGAUUAGCUUGUUGGUGGGGUAAUGGCCUACCAAGGCGACGAUCGGUAGCUGGGUCUGAGAGGAUGAUCAGCCACACUGGGACUGAGACACGGCCCAGCUCCUACGGGAGGCAG